rnacentral:piRNA from 1 species
UGGCAAUAGGAUAUGUGAGACCCAGUGUGU